GUAAGUGCGUACAAGUUUCAUUAAUCAAUUUUUCAUCUUUAUUAUCUCAACUGGUUUUUUAGGUGUCUCGAAGAUAUGAUAUUCGCACAACAAUUUUUUCCCUGGAAGGGUGCCUCUACCAAGUAUGGAAGCUAUUGGAAUUAUAUGAAGCUCUUUUGGGAUUCUGGCUAAGGAUGGAGUUCAGUUAGUUGGUGAAGAGAAGGUCAUUUCCAACUAGUUGAAACCUCCACAUCAGUUGAGAAGAUGUGACCCGAGCUGCAGCAAUCGGGGGAAACAACCAAGCUGCAUAGUCCGUACUCAAGCAGGAUUACAACGACGACAUCACCAGAGAAGAUGCCAUUCAGCUUGCUAUAAAGGUGCUCAGCACGACCCUCAACUUGGAGAAUCUUGAAUUGGCCGAGAUAAGCUUGACAAGAUGUUGGUAAAGUCGGGAUUAACGCAAACUUCUGUGAGUUUGAUCCUUACGUACAUCUGCACCACUGUGCAAUACUUUUUAUGUGUGUGUGCUCUUGAAAAGCAAGCGUUUGUUGUAUGCUCUGUUUGAUCCUCUUAGUCAUUUUACUUGUGCAGAUGAGUUAUCAGAAAUGUGGAAUUUUCUUGGAGUAACUCUUUGCAAUAAUAUAAUUGAUCCUAGUGAGCUUUCUUGAAUACAAUUUGAUGACCAAAUCUUGUACAAGAGGUUUAAAAUAUACUCCAUGGAACUACUUUGGAAGAAAAUCAACGCAAAUAUUUAGGAAA